AGAGUUUAAUCAUGGCUCAGAACGAACGCUGGCGGCAGGCUUAACACAUGCAAGUCGAACGCCCUCUUCGGAGGGAGUGGCAGACGAGUGAGUAACACGUGGGAACGUGCCCUUUGGUUCGGAACAACUCCGGGAAACUGGAGCUAAUACCGGAUAAGCCCUUCGGGGGAAAGAUUUAUCGCCAAAGGAUCGGCCCGCGUCUGAUUAGCUAGUUGGUGGGGUAAUGGCCCACCAAGGCGACGAUCAGUAGCUGGUCUGAGAGGAUGGCCAGCCACACUGGGACUGAGACACGGCCCAGACUCCUACGGGAGGCAGCAGUGGGGAAUAUUGGACAAUGGGCGAAAGCCUGAUCCAGCCAUGCCGCGUGAGUGAUGAAGGCCUUAGGGUUGUAAAGCUCUUUCGCCGAGGACGAUAAUGACGGUACUCGGAUAAGAAGCCCCGGCUAACUUCGUGCCAGCAGCCGCGGUAAUACGAAGGGGGCUAGCGUUGUUCGGAAUUACUGGGCGUAAAGCGUAUGUAGGCGGGUCGUUAAGUUAGGGGUGAAAUCCCAAGGCUCAACCUUGGAACUGCCCUUGAUACUGGCGAUCUUGAGUCCGGGAGAGGUGAGUGGAACUGCGAGUGUAGAGGUGAAAUUCGUAGAUAUUCACAAGAACACCAGUGGCGAAGGCGGCUCACUGGCCCGGUACUGACGCUGAGAUACGAAAGCGUGGGGAGCAAACAGGAUUAGAUACCCUGGUAGUCCACGCCGUAAACUAUGAAUGCUAGUCGUCGGAAGGUUUACCUUUCGGUGACGCAGCUAACGCAAUAAGCAUUCCGCCUGGGGAGUACGAUCGCAAGAUUAAAACUCAAAGGAAUUGACGG
rnacentral:rRNA from 1 species